rnacentral:pre_miRNA from 1 species
AUUAUACUCCCUCCGUCCCAAAAUUCUUGUCUUAGAUUUGUCUAAAUACGGAUGUAUCUAAUACUAAAACAUGACUUGAUACAUCUGUAUCUAGACAAAUGUAAGACAAAAAAUUUAGGACGGAGGGAGUACAUU